rnacentral:rRNA from 1 species
AAAACAUGUCUUUUUGAUAAAAAUUUAAAGUCAGGUCUGCUCACUGAAUUAUUUAAAGAGCCGCAGUAUAUUGACUGUGCAAAGGUAGCAUAAUCAAUAGUUUUUUAAUUGGAAACUAGAAUGAAAGAUUAGACGAAAAAUUAAUUUUCUUUGUUUUAAUAAAUUUAAUUUUAAAUUUAAGUGAAAAUGCUUAAAUAUAAUUAAAAGACGAGAAGACCCUAUAGAUUUUUAUUAUUGAAAUGAAUUUUUAAAUUUAAUUUAAUAAAAUAAUUUAAUUGGGGCGAUUUUAUAAUAUAAAUAACUUAAUUUUUUUUAAACCAUAAAUAAUUGAAUAUUUGAUCUAAAAUUUUUAAAGAAAAGACUAAAUUACCUUAGGGAUAACAGCGUAAUUUUAUUUAAGAGUUCAUAUCUAUAAUAAAGUUUGCGACCUCGAUGUUGAAUUAAGAUAAUAUAUUGGAGUAGAAAUUAAUAUAAUUAGUCUGUUCGACUAUUAAAUUCUUACGUGAUCUG